CAGUAGCCGCGGUAAUACGGAGGGGGCUAGCGUUAUUCGGAAUUACUGGGCGUAAAGCGCACGUAGGCGGCUUCGCAAGUCAGAGGUGAAAGCCUGGAGCUCAACUCCAGAAUUGCCUUUGAGACUGCGUCGCUCGAAUCCGGGAGAGGUGAGUGGAAUUCCGAGUGUAGAGGUGAAAUUCGUAGAUAUUCGGAAGAACACUAGUGGCGAAGGCGGCUCACUGGACCGGCAUUGACGCUGAGGUGCGAAAGCGUGGGGAGCAAACAGGAUUAGAUACCCCCGUAGUCCCUGUCUCUUAUAC
rnacentral:rRNA from 1 species